CACGUAGGGCGCAAGCGUUGUCCGGAAUUAUUGGGCGUAAAGAGCUCGUAGGCGGUCUGUUGCGUCUGCUGUGAAAACCCGGGGCUUAACCCCUGGCUUGCAGUGGAUACGGACAGACUAGAGGUAGGUAGGGGAGAAUGGAAUUCCCGGUGUAGCGGUGAAAUGCGCAGAUAUCGGGAGGAACACCGGUGGCGAAGGCGGUUCUCUGGGACGGUACUGACGCUGAGACGCGAAAGCGUGGGGAGCGAACAGG
rnacentral:rRNA from 1 species